rnacentral:rRNA from 1 species
CGGCGAGUGAAGCGGCAACAGCUCAAAUUUGAAAUCUGGCUUCGGCCCGAGUUGUAAUUUGUAGAGGAUGCUUUUGGUGAGGUGCCUUCUGAGUUCCCUGGAACGGGACGCCAGAGAGGGUGAGAGCCCCGUAUAGUCGGCCACCGAUCCUCUGUAAAGCUCCUUCGACGAGUCGAGUAGUUUGGGAAUGCUGCUCAAAAUGGGAGGUAUAUCUCUUCUAAAGCUAAAUAUUGGCCAGAGACCGAUAGCGCACAAGUAGAGUGAUCGAAAGAUGAAAAGCACUUUGAAAAGAGGGUUAAAUAGCACGUGAAAUUGUUGAAAGGGAAGCGCUUGUGACCAGACUUGUGCCGGGCUGAUCAUCCAGUGUUCUCACUGGUGCACUCGACCCGGCUCAGGCCAGCGUCGGUUCUCGCGGGGGGAUAAAAGCUUCGGGAACGUGGCACCUCCGGGUGUGUUAUAGCCCGCUGCUUAAUACCUUCGCGGGGACCGAGGUUCGCGCAAGGACGCUGGCAUAAUGGUCAUCAGCGACCCGUCUUGAAACACGGACCAAGGAGUCGAGGUUUUGCGCGAGUGUUUGGGUGUAAAACCCGCACGCGUAAUGAAAGUGAACGUAGGUGAGAGCUUCGGCGCAUCAUCGACCGAUCCUGAUGUAUUCGGAUGGAUUUGAGUAAGAGCGUAUAGCCUCGGACCCGAAAGAUGGUGAACUAUGCCUGAAUAGGGUGAAGCCAGAGGAAACUCUGGUGGAGGCUCGCAGCGGUUCUGACGUGCAAAUCGAUCGUCAAAUUUGGGCAUGGGGGCGAAAG